rnacentral:lncRNA from 1 species
GGGGUUCAGCUGGACCAGUCUGUGAUACCUGCUGCUAUCAGGGGUGGUGCAAUGCUCACAGCACUCACACAGUACUGGCACUGAGGAAAGCAGGUGCAUUUUGAAGGAAUGAAGUGGGUAAGAUGUACCAUGCCGGUCUUUAAAAUGCCACUUUCAACGGGACACAAAGGAGCCCUUGGCCCCUGUGACAGCUGGGCUCUUAUUUCCAGGGGCACAACUUGUGCUUCUGCUCAUGGGCUACUUACCAACCUGAGGGUGCCAGCUGAGAGCAUGGUAAGGUGUUCUUCCAUGAGGAUGUUGUACAUGGUAACUGCAAGCAUCGAAGACUUUCACUGCACAGAGGAUGUGAGGACUCAACUCAGCGCUGGGAAAACCUCCAAAGGUCUGGAUUGA